rnacentral:lncRNA from 1 species
AGAUCCGGUACCAGCCCUGGACGUCGGGCAACAGCUGGAAAUAAAAGUGCAGCGUCUACACGACAUUGAAACAGAGAACCAGAAACUUAGGGAAACACUAGAAGAGUACAACAAGGAGUUUGCUGAAGUGAAAAAUCAAGCAACUGGAAGAAAAACUCAAAGGCCAGGCUGACUAUGAAGAAGUGAAGAAAGAGCUGAACAGGUGGGUUCAAGGUGGCCGCAUGGUGACCCCUGCUCUGCCCUGUGCAGGACUCUACCAAGCCCCUGGAGGUUUUACUCCUGGAGAAGAACCGCUCGCUGCAGUCCGAGAAUGCCACGCUGCGCAUCUCCAACAGUGACCUGAGCGG